rnacentral:lncRNA from 1 species
CUUAUAUAUUAUUAUGUCGAAAAAUAAUUAUCUGUUAUGAAGGCACAGCCAGUAAUAACAAAAUAAUAUCUGCACAAACCCAAAAUUGAAAUAAGUGACCUGCCACAAAUUACACAGCCACCUGAGCCAACUAUUGUAUAGGAGCAGUAUCUAGUGGUUCACCACAAAAAAUUUGACAGAUUAAAAGUCUGCGAAUUAAACAUUUAGAAUAUAAAAUUAAUAGACAAAACCAUUUACCUCAAUGGAGUAAAUUUCUGAACCUUCUGAAGAAAAGGCAACAACAUCUACAAGAGGUGUCAUAACCUCUCUAACUAGUGUGUCUUUUAUCUCCAACACGUUUUGAACCAUAUCCUACAUAUAAUUAUAGUUUUAUUGUUAACAGAUUCUUGAUUUAAUCAAUGUUGAGCUGGGGAAUGUGUAACGUCCACUUUCAUUUAAUCGUUUAUUUAAACGAGUUUAGACGAUUAUAUUAUAAUUAUAUAAUAUAUUCAUGAUUUUGAUAUGUUUUGAUGAUUUACGAUGAUUUUGGUGAUUUGAUUGAUGACGUGAUAAGUUAUGAAUUUUGAAGGCUUUGAUAAAGAUAUGAGAUUUAUUUUAUUGUUAAAUAAAAUAAAGAUUUGAAAAUAAUAUAAAAUAUUUAGUUGAGGGCUGUUUUGAUAUUUUAGAUAGUUUUGGGGGAGAAAGUGAAAUAAGAUAAGUAAUUAAGGAGAUAUAAAAAGGUUAGACCUAGUUUUAGAAAAACAUUGUUGUACGUACGUUUUUGGAGAAAAAGGGAGAAAAAGCCAAGAGAAGAGAAACCAAGAGAGAGGGCUGCGAUUUCUGCAAAACAAGGUAAGGGUGAGACUAAUAAUUCAAUAAUGUUAAUUGUUGUAAUUAUGAUGAUUAAUUGACAAAGUUAGGAUUGAUUUAGAAAAGUUUUGGAAUUAGGUCAUGUUAUCGCGAUUUUCGGGUGUCAAGUCAUUAAUUAGGCUUGAAUCUUUCAAUCUUUGAUAUUCUCUAUUUUUUCUUGGGAAGGGCAAAAUUGAGAAAAAACCCUUAGAUUCUAAGUUCGGGGGUCGUUUUCACUACGGGAAGGUGUUAGGCACCCGCGGUGACUAUAGUACUCUAUAGGAGCCGUUUUCUUAGUUUAUGUCUACGCUUUAUUUUUAAUGCUAUUUAUGAAAAAGGAAAUUUAUUUAUGUUAAGAAUGGGGGGAGAAAGUGUUUGAGGUUUUAUUUUAGUGGACUUGGAGAGGUUUUGACCUCAUGCCUACAUACCCAUUUAAGGGAUCAAACUCCAUGUAGUUCUCUCUCAAAAAAUGUUUUUUGUGUGUUUGGUUGAUUUUAGUUUUUGUUGGAAAAUGGUUUUGAAGAAGAGAAAGAGGCCUUAAAGGCAUAAGAGAGAAAAAUGGUGAAUGGUUGGUUCAAUUGUUAUUAAAAAAGUCUAAGUAGGAAUUAGGAUUCAUUUGGAUUUGUUUAAGAAAAUAAAGGAAAAAAUUCAAUGGAGUUUUGACUCCAAGGUUUGUUUGGAAAAAUUUGAGUGAUGGAAUUGGUUUAUUAUUUUUUUGAAAAUUGGCAUUUGUCUAAAAAUCGCGUUUCCUAAGCAUACAUCUAAACGGUAAACAUGCAACGUGUGUGCGUGUCGGUGCUUGUGUCGGUGUACAUCACUUAUAGUGUCCAUAGUCCUUUACAUUGAGUCCUAAAUACAUGCUAUGGUCUUGCAAGGAAUUAAAAAAAGAACUAAUCUAUCUAAAAUUAUUACAAACCCAAUUGAUAUAGAAAUGAAUAGAAAAAUGAUGCCAAAACUAUGGGAUGAAUGAAAUGUGAGAUGAAAUGGUUAGUAUCAUAAGGCAUAAAAAUAGUAGAAAGGUAAACAAAAUUGAAUAGAAUAGCAAGAGAAAAAAAAAAAUAAUGAAAUGAAAUAAAGUGGCAAAAUAUACCUAAAAUUGGUUAUGACACUUAGACAUGCAUAUGACCUAUAAUCCCCUCAUUAUAGCAAUGUUAAAGGGGUUUGAUUUUGAGCUAUAAUGUGGGAACAAAUAGGACACAUUCAAGCCAAGAAUCAUGACACAUUUUUAAAGAUAUUUUGCACUUUAUUUCUUGAUAAAAACACACAUUACUUGCAAAACAAGAAAGAAAUGAAAAUCUACAUCCACAAUCAGCAAGACAUACAUAUGAUCAGCAACACAUUCACCAUGAAAUUACACACCAAUCAUCCACAUCACAUGCCAACAUUUUAUGAGAAAAAUAUACCACAAAAAUACACAAACUUAGAUCAAACACAAAAUUAAUCAAGAAAAAAUAACACACACAUUUUUAUCAUUUUUAAACCAUUGAAAAAUAUCACAAAAGUACUAAAAUGUAUUAAGAAACAUAUAACAAUUUUUUAGGAAUUUUUAGAGAAAAGAUUAAGCACGCAGAGGUUCAAUUAGCAAAAAAGCAGGGUGCAGACAGCACAAAAAAGCAAAAACGUACAGGAACUUUAGGCCCAAACCCAAAGCCCAACACCAGAUCACAGGAAAGUACAGGGACCGUUGGAUUGAUCCAGGAGAUGGAAACCUAGAUCCAACGGUCUAGAUUGAGGGAAAACGAACCAGAAUUGGACCGGUCCGGUUCAGUUGGUUAUAAAANNNNNNNNNNNNNNNNNNNNNNNNNNNNNNNNNNNNNNNNNNNNNNNNNNNNNNNNNNNNNNNNNNNNNNNNNNNNNNNNNNNNNNNNNNNNNNNNNNNNGGUAAAACUUGAUUAGAUUGAUGUAGAAACCGUCCUAUAACCUUAGAACAUGUUUAGGAUGGAUUAUGGAAUCAAAAUUAGGCUUUGAACCAUGUUAUUUGAUGGAUUUUCGAGAAAACCCGUUUUCUGUCCGAGCCUCUGUUCAUCGCUCGCCUUGGCGAGGGAUGAUCCUCACCUCGCGAGUGAUGAACUUCAUCGCUCGCCACGCGAGCCCUUUUCCUUCGCCUCGCGAGUUCUUUGGGUACCGCUCGCCAUAGCGAGCUAAGGCAGAGAGCAUGUUAGAUUUUGUGUUUCGACCUUUUUAGUUGGACCUUGAGUGCCUUUGAGUGCCUGAACAUACCUAGUAUUGAUUAGGAAUGAAUGUAGGAUCAGACUUAACCCAGAACAACACUAGUUUGGGAGUUGAGUUGUACUCGCCUCGCGAGCACAACCAUAAUGUAGUUGCUUGAGUGUUUGUGCGAUCUAUGUCGCACGUUUUGAUCGAUAGUGAACCCCUGCUUGGUAUUGAGACCUAAUGAUGACGUUAAAUGCAGUCUGUAGAGUUGUUAAGAUAUGUUGAUAUUAAUUGAACAUGAACUAAUGUAUUGUAUAAUUAUGCAAGAUAUGCAAGUUUGAUUAUAAUGCAAUUGAUGUGCUAUUGAUAUAAUGAUAUCAUCCUGUUAUGUGAUUUGUUUAUGCUGCUUCUGUUAUUUAACUAAGUGCAUAUUGUAUAUGAGUAUGAUGAAAUGAUGAAGUUAGCUCCAAAUUAUUGGAUGCAUGUUGAUAUGUUGAUUACGAUGUUUUGUUCAUACGAGUCCAUGCAUAGCAUCUCAUUGAGCUUAGUCCUCACCACGAUUAUUAGGAGCUUUGUCCUCCGCACGAUUAAAGUAUAUUAAUACUUAUGAUGACGAUUGGUACCACAUGCGUAUAAGGAGUCUAAGAGCAUUGUCGCAUUGUCAUGAUUAAGAUGCCUUGUUGAUAAUGAUUGUAUAUGUGAUUACGUGAUAAGUGUUCAUCAAAUAUGAUAUGUUGUUCAUGAUAAAUGGAUAUAUGAUUACGUGAUAACUGUUUAGCAAUUUUGCAAAGUUGUUAAAGAAAUGAUUAUGAUGUUAACUUAUGAUUCGCAAUUACAUUGAUUAAUGUUAUUUUGUUAUGAAAUCUCACCCCUUCUGCUUGAAAAUGUUGCCCUUCGUAUGUUUAUCUUGCAGGUGAUCGUGCUUAGUGUGCAGUUGCCGUCGUGAGUGGCCUUGCCUUCACUGUGUCGUCUAGGUCGCUCUGAUACGUAACGGGAUGGGGAUUAAUGUUAUACAUGCUUCAUUCUCUUACGUGAUUAAUAUGUUAUUUUUAUAAUGUUAUGGAUUACGAUAUGAACUGUUUUGAUGGGGCCUACGUGCCAAACUGAUUUAUGAUUUUCGAACUAAUAUUCCGCUGCUAUGUUAAGAUAUUAUGUGAAAGUUAAAUUAUUAUUUAACUGUUGUUUUUGGAUUACGUUUCCAUGUGAUAUCCCGUUUAUGGUUUUUACUCUGAUAAAUGUUUAAGAAAUUUGUAUAUUGGAAAAACGGGGUGUUACAGAAUGCAAUAUUCAACUCGUCAACGAUCUCUUUCUCCCAUUUGAGGCGAUACAAAUUCUUCAAGUUCCUUUAUCUACUAGUCAGCUGAGUGAUAUGUUCAUCUGGGAAGCAAAUCAAUGAUCUGUGAAUUCAGAACACAAAUCCUUAAAGGAGAGGAGUAUGAAGUAUUGCAAAACCAACCACGUUAUGGUCCAAACUUUGGAAUCUCAAAACUAUCCCAUGUCAUGUUCACCUUAUAUGUGGCGUAUCUUGCAUAAUCAGUCUACUCCCGGUUCAAGUUGCUCUCUUUAAGAAAGUUAUUAAUUGCUCCCCACUGUGUGCUUUCAAUGAAUCUAUUAAUCACCUCUAUCAAUGAGUGGGAUGAACAAGGGAUUGUGAGUGAAUCGGAGCAUGUGAUUAAAUCAGUCCUAUCCAUGUAUUAUGACGUAUGGAAAAAUAGGAACAAGAGUGCUUUGACGGAUAUGAUAUUCCCGGUGCAGCAGACGGGGGUUAGGGACUGUCAGCAGUAACUCGUGAUGCUGACAGAGUAGUUGAACUUGUUGCUCUGAACUGCUGUAAAAACAUGAUGUGGACGGGCUAUGGCAAUGAAGGCUGGACUGAAAUUUGUAAGGGAGAUACUCUUUUUAAAUUUAUUUGCCGAAUCUGAUUCUCUAUAUUGGAUUACUGCAAUCUUUUAUUUUCUAGCUUUUAUAGUCUAUAGUUUAUACAUGUUAGACUUCUUGUAUUAUGCUCCACGUUAUCCAGGAAGAUUUGGCAUUUUCAAUUCUGAUUGUGUGUGGAUUGGUGAAACUCCUAGUUGUAUUUCUGUCUUGGCAUUCGAUUUGAUGUCAAACAGAUAUAACUUUUCAACUUCAAAAUAAAUGUUCCUUUUUAUGUUCUGCUUAUCUAAAUGAAAUGCAUUUGUUCACAUAACAUAUCACAUUGUUAUUGUUUUUUUCUUUUCU